UCGGCGACCGGCGCACGGGUGAGUAACGCGUAUCCAACCUGCCCAUAACUAAGGGAUAACCCAGCGAAAGUUGGACUAAUACUUUAUGUAUUCGUUUGAUCUCAUGAGAUUACGAAUAAAGAUUUAUCGGUUAUGGAUGGGGAUGUGUCUGAUUAGCUUGUUGGCGGGGUAACGGCCCACCAAGGCAACGAUCAGUAGGGGUUCUGAGAGGAAGGUCCCCCACAUUGGAACUGAGACACGGUCCAAACUCCUACGGGAGGCAGCAGAU
rnacentral:rRNA from 1 species